CCACAGCCCCCACCCAGGGACAGCCCCCGCUGGGGGUGACAGUCACUCCAUCUCCCACGGGGAGCCCUUUGCCUCCUGUCACCAUGGCCUCUGUGGGCAGCAGUGCCACGACUCCUCCUGGAGAAGGGGACAGCUCCACCGUGAACCAGGGGAUCACAACAGCUGAGCCCACUGCCAGGACCUCCCAUUCCCUCCCUUCCACUUCCUUGGCAAUGCCAUCCACGACGAACCUUAGUACAUCAACAUCUGUUAAUCCUUCUUCUACUGGAACUUGCUCUCCUGUCACUUUGUCCAUCCAGCUGCAGAACGUGACCAGUACGAUGAUACAGUUCAGCUGGAACCCUCAAGGUGGCACAGCAGACAGUCUUUACACAGUGAGGCUGCUGAGAAAAUCGGGAGAGAUGGAGGAGAGAAUCCUAAAUGAAACAAGCACUGCAUUUGAAAAUCUGACUUCUGGUCUUCAGUACCAAAUAUCCGUGGAUGUUUCAACAUGCUCUAAGAAUGUCAGUACCUCCUUGACAGUUCAGACAGCUGCUGAAGUCUACAUUGGAACCACUAGGAUUACCAGUGAAGAUUUCAAGACUGAAUAUGAGAACAAAUCAAGUACAGAAUUUAAGGAGUUUGAAAAUAAGUUCAUUAUGGAGAUAACAAAACAUCUGCCACAGAAGUUACAAGAAUUAAAAAAUGAAGAAAAAUUACGUAUUGUAAUCAAAAGCAUCAAGCAAGGCAGUGUGAUUGUGCAAUUUGACAUUGUGUUGGAUGUUGGACAAAAUAUAACAAAACCAGAGAUUUCAGAUGCUCUUACAGAGGCCCUUAACAGGAGCACAGAAUUUGUUGUUGAUCCUCAAAAUACUUCUAUAGAAGCAAGGAAUAGCUGUGAGCCAGAUUUCAAUGACUGUCACCAAAAUGCUACCUGCACCCCUGAAGGAGCCACUUAUUCCUGUCAGUGCAACAAAGAAUUCACUGAUCUGAGUUCCCAGGUUCCAGGGAGAGUUUGUCAGCAGGAUCUACCUUCACGAUCCACAACUUCAGCCCCUCCAAACACCAACACCAUCAAUACAACUGGAACAGGAUCCACAACUCCAGUUCCUCCAAACACCAACACCACCAGUACACCUGGAACAGGAUCCACAACUUCAGCCCCUCCAAACANCUGGAACAGGAUCCACAACUUCAGCCCCUCCAAACACCAACACCANCAGUACAACUGGAACAGCAUCCACAACUCCAGUUCCUCCAAACACCAACACAACUGGAUUUACAGGAUCUACAUCUAAUUAUGUUUCCAAUGCCACUUUUACGUCAGCACCUUGCAUGACAGUGUCCAUCGAAGUUCAGAAUGUGACUAGAGAAGAAAUAAAACUCAGCUGGACCAGUAGCAGCAAAGGCAGCCUCUACAUCAUCUCUGUCAUGGAUGAAAAGCAGACAAAUACAACAACUACAAAUGAGAAAAAAACUGUGUUUAAAAACCUUCUUCCUGGCCAUUCGUACACUAUUUCUGUGGCAGUGUCAUCUUGUGCUGAGAAUAAAAACACUUCAGUCACUGUCCGAACAGAUCCUGAUUCCUGUUUCAAAAGAACUGAGUUUUGUUCAGCACAAAACACUGCCUGUUCUGACUUAAAAGGCGUUGUGUGCUCCAAUAACCAAGCAUUUGCCUGCAAAGUUUCUUUAAAAGACGAGACAUUUAAUAAUACACUCUAUGACUCUCAUAGUGAAGGCUAUGCAGCAAUAUCUAAAAAGAUCAAAACAGAUGUUGUUGGAGCAAUGAGUGCUGAGCUGGGGAAUAACCACUCUGAUAUUGUCGUGCUGGGGUUGAGACCUGGCAGCGUGAUUGCUGAUUUCCUCUUUCUGGUGCCAAAAGAAGAUGCCAUGAAUGUGGAUGUUAUACAGGACCAGCUGAGUAAAGUAUUAAGGAGCAAGUUUGGGGACAGAACUGAAGUGCAAUCUCUGUCUGUUCAGUCAUCAACUGACAACAGUUCCUCCUGGAGAGUAGCAGUGAUUGUCCUUGGAGUUUUACUUGGAGUUGCAUUAGUGCUGAUUUUCCUGGCAAUACUGUUUUACAUCUAUGUGAAGAGAAGAUCAGGUAUGGAAUUUUCCACAUUGUACACGUGGUAGAGUGAGGAACAGAGACACUUCUCUUCAGCCUAUCCCCUAUAGGUACUGCAAUGACUCUAACUCUGGCAAUCUAGAGAGACAGGAUCCAAACUACUCAAUAUUGUAUUUAGGUGACACUGAAAACAGGGUGACUAAGCCUGGUAGCUGUGAAUGCUCAGCUGAGCCCAGAGUCAUCCUGUUGGGUUCUGUGCCCUUGGCCAAGGGUGAUUCAGCUCCCCUGAGACUUUUACCACUGUAUAAAGAUGCCUUUUUCUCUCCUGUGACUGCAGAAUGAGCUCAGGGUAAUUCAUGUUCUAGCAUGUGCAGCUUGAUUAGGAGAAAAAUGGGACACAUCUCAGUUAUGUGGACUUGCUAUAGAAGUCUGAUGGACCAGAAACUUAAUUUGGAUUUUUGAAUUCAAGGUUUCUCUAAUUGCUGAGCUAUGAAGAAAUAACUUGUUAUAUGUGUCAAAUCUGUAGUGUGCUAAAUACAGGUGUGGUUUCACAGCACAGUCUCAAUGUAUUACUAGAUGGGGGGGGGAAGGCAAACAUUAGUUUAAUUUGAACCCAAAAUAUUUUACUCACCUAUUUGUGCCUGUCAAAAAUGGUUGGCUGAGCAAGGAUGUGCCAUAUAGUGCAAUUUUGUCCUGCUCUUGAUAAUUCUAGAGUCCAACAGAAGCAACUCCUGUGGCAUUGGAGCAGACCUUGCUUUAGAUUGCUUCUAAUUCCUUUAGAGCAAUUAGAAGAAAUUGCCUUAACCUUUUCCCACCACUCUUCACAGCAGUCCUGGUGAAGUUACAGUCCUUUUCUACUAUGGUACAGCUUUUCCUGUUUGGAAUGUGCUGAACAGAAGAUAAAGGGUCCGUUUACUGCUGCACAUAUUUCCAGCAGGAUUUAUGUAUUUCAUUUCAAACCAGCUCUCCCUGUAUCUAUAUAUUUUGUCAGUCUGCCUAGGCUCAGAAUUCCUGUUGAAGCACUGAGUAUCCCAUGAUGUCGAGGCCCUGGCUCACACCCCCUGAACACCCCUGUUUUUUGGGAAUUAGGUUAUGGUUAUUUGGCACAGGUUAGAGUAAAUUGGUGCCAGAACUGCAGCACAAGGUGGGAGCUCAGCAGAGUGGUGGUGCACAAGCAGCUCUGCUCUGCUCUGUAUGCAGCCAGUGUUUAUUCUUUUCAUCCCUCCUUCCCUGGGCUCUAACACAGCUCCUGGGACAGCCCUGCUGAGGACCCUGUCUGGAACACUAUUUUUGGUAGCAGGGACCUAUGAAACAGGGUCUUGCAUGCCUUGCUCUCCCUUGCCUUCCAUGCAGCGUCAGCUUGUCUAUCCUGAUUAGGUCUGGGGUGUGGAGUCACAGACACCUCACUGAUGGAAAGAGUAUUUGUUAAUUUGUUAGUAUUUGUUAAACUUGCAUUAUGUGGCUUUUAAAUAUAGCUAGCUCUGGUGUAUUAUUCACUGAGUGGUCACUCAACAAUGUAUUCUGUCAGUAAAUACAAGUUCUCCCAGGGAGCUCUGUUGAAAAUACAAAUGAGUGCUCUCGCUUAUAUAACACUCUUUUAUUUCUUUUUUUGAGGGAUCUACUUUGAAUAGCAAACCCUCAUUGUCAGUAAACCUUUCUGAUGUCCUUGUAAAUAGUGUUAAAUAAAGACCAUGUAUAGAAGGCUUGGACAAUCCUGGGAUUGUUCAUGCAAAAUGUAUUUAAUAUCUUCGGGGAAAAAAAAGUGGUAUUUUAAACUAUUUUCUCAAAGAUGCUUUACAAAUAAAAUCUUUAUUUUUACAACUGUGCAUUCUGAAGGAA